AUUUGCGUUAUUUAUUAAACGCCUCUACUUCGAGUUCGAAGGUCUGAUGGAGUUGUCUACUAACUUUGGAAACUUUGUAUUCUUACAUUUUUCAGAUUUAUAGCUUCUUUUUUUCACCGUGGAUAACUUGUGCUGUAGUUUUAUAUACAAUUUGGAUUAAUACUGUGUGAUAUCAAGUAUCGUCAGCGUGAAAAAAUUAGGAAUCAACUGACUGGAUUUUAUUCAGGGAGCAGGGACCUUUGAAUCGAUUGAGAAAAGACUCUUUCAAGCAUGGGGAACGGAGAGAGUUCUCCCCAGCUCAAGCGGCGGAAUAGCUACCCAAUGAUGGCUCCAAAACAAGCCAUGCCGGAGAAGACAGACCUCGAUGAUCGCUUCAUGACGAUUUUGG
rnacentral:lncRNA from 1 species